AGAGAAGAUGCUGGGGAGAACCAGUCGUAGGAUAUCAGCCAUUGGAAGACCCGUUUGUUCAAGAUGGAUUCGAAAUGAAUUUAUACAAGGACACUACAGAACUGCUGUCGGCUUCUGGGUUGCCACUGUGAAAGACAGUUGGAGUUAUUUGAUGGACAAUCGAUUAUUUAUACAGUUCGCAGUUUGUUUUGAAUAAGCAAGGUCAGAUGACUUUCACACAGACACACAAUUUAGAGUCAAGAUGGAUUCGGUUAAUGGAAGACACCAGUGAAUCGGUUGCUGGUUUAAACUUUCAGUAGCCCAAAAGGGCUGCAUCGAUAUGUUGGAACCAGGUU